GACGAACGCUGGCGGUGUGCUUAACACAUGCAAGUCGAACGGUAAGGCCCUUUCGGGGGUACACGAGUGGCGCACGGGUGAGUAACACGUGAGUAACCUGCCCUCAUCUCUGGGAUAACAGUCGGAAACGGUUGCUAAUACUGGAUAUGAGCUUGCAAGGCAUCUUGUGGGUUGGAAAGAUUUUUUUUGGUUGGGGAUGGACUCGCGGCCUAUCAGCUUGUUGGUGAGGUAGUGGCUCACCAAGGCUUCGACGGGUAGCCGGCCUGAGAGGGCGACCGGCCACAUUGGGACUGAGAUACGGCCCAAACUCCUACGGGAGGCAGCAGUGGGGAAUAUUGCACAAUGGACGGAAGUCUGAUGCAGCAACGCCGCGUGCGGGAUGACGGCCCUCGGGUUGUAAACCGCUUUCAAUUGUGACGAAGCUUUUUUGUGACGGUAGCAGUAGAAGAAGCACCGGCUAACUACGUG
rnacentral:rRNA from 1 species